ACGGAAGAUAAGGGUUAAGAAACAAAUAAACCCUCAAGGAGUGCCCCGUCCUCUUUGCUGAACUUUUAUACUUGAGGUUUGAGCCUUAAUCCCCGGGACCAACUAAAUCUCAAGGAUGGUUUCAUGAGCUUCCUUCAGAAAAUGCCCCCUGGACGUGGCUAAGAGUGGGUGUGGCAGAUGGUGGAGCCCCUUAGCAACUAACCUUCUCACAUAAACCUCAACCCAGUUGCCAAUCGCUGAUUUAUAGCACUUUGGACCCAACAAAUACUCACGAGAGAUGUGGUCAUUGGCUUCAAGCAUCCUAAAGACUGUGUUGUAGAAGAGGGAUGAGCAUCAAUCGGCUUGGAUCCAGAGGGCAGCAGAGAUAGACAAAAGGAGUGAAGUCAAGAGGCUAAUUUAGGCUGAAUGUCUGGAAAAACUUCUUGACAGUGAGAGUCAUCCAAGAGUGGAGUUCUCCUUCUUGGAGGACUUCAAGCAGAGACUGGAUGACCACCUCUCAGGUAAGGAAACAGAAGCCCAGAAAGAUGAAGGCUUCACCAGAGUCACACAAGUAGUAAAUGCCAAAACUGGGACUUGGAACUCUAGUUCUCUGACUAAAUCCAGGAUGCUUUCUGCUAUAUCUGGCCCAGAACUUUGAAAUUCUGAACUUGGCCAAAAAUUUGAAGAGACUUAAAAAAACAUUUCUUUCUUUACUUUAUUCUAGCAACAAAUUUACUCAUAAAUUUUCUAAAGUUACAUUCAUGUUGCCUCCUUCCCCUCUUUCCUCCCUCUUGCUCUAGAGUUGACUAGCAAUUCUACUGGAUUAUAUUUGUAUUAUCACUCAAAACCUAUUUCCAUAUUAUUGACUAUUUGUAAGAGAGUAAUCUUAUAGAACCAAAACCCCCCAUAGGGGCUUAUAACCCAUAUAACAAGUGAUAAAUCAGAUGUUUUCUUCUGCAUUUCUACUCCAACAAUUCUUUCUCUAGCUGUGGAUAGCAUUCUUUUCAUAAGUCCUUUAUAAUUGUCUUGGAUCAUUGUAUUGCUGUUAGUA
rnacentral:lncRNA from 1 species